rnacentral:rRNA from 1 species
AACGAACGCUGGCGGCAUGCCUAACACAUGCGAGUCGAACGAGACCUUCGGGUCUAGUGGCGCACGGGUGCGUAACGCGUGGGAACCUGCCCUUAGGUUCGGAAUAACUCCCCGAAAGGGGUGCUAAUACCGGAUAAUGUCUUCGGACCAAAGAUUUAUCGCCUUUGGAUGGGCCCGCGUUGGAUUAGCUAGUUGGUAGGGUAAAAGCCUACCAAGGCGACGAUCCAUAGCUGGUCUGAGAGGAUGAUCAGCCACACUGGGACUGAGACACGGCCCAGACUCCUACGGGAGGCAGCAGUGGGGAAUAUUGGACAAUGGGCGAAAGCCUGAUCCAGCAAUGCCGCGUGAGUGAUGAAGGCCUUAGGGUUGUAAAGCUCUUUUAACCGGGAUGAUAAUGACAGUACCGGGAGAAUAAGCGCCGGCUAACUCCGUG